ACAGCAUUUGCUUUUUCACUUUUAUUUAAAUAAUGACCACAAUACUCACCUCAGUGUCUCCAGUCCACAACGUGGCUCUGCCAAGAACUCACAAAGCUUUGUGACACCACCGUCUCUGAGGACAUUUCCUGUCAGAUCCAGGACUCUCAGGUGGGCGGGGUUUGACUUCAGACUGGAACCCAGUGCAGCACAGCCUCUCUCUGUAAACUGACAGCGAGCCAGUCUGUUGGGGAAAAACAGUUUGAACUUCUAGGUGGUAACAUGCAGUGGCAGCUCCAGACCCUGACCUCUGACCUUUUUAAACAUAUGGGCAGUGUUGAGUGUAGCGUCAGAGUACUCAGAUUACUUUUUCAUCGUAGCAUCUAACGUAACGCAUUAGUUUUGCACUUUAAUUUGUCAGUUAUUUUGUUACAUUUUCAAAUAAGCAGUGUGUUGCUUUAAAAAUGUUCCUGUAUUUCCAUGUUUCUUUUGUUGCCAUUAACUGCAUGUUUGUUGAAACAUGAUGUGCUGUAGACGAUACAAGCUGCUGUAUUGUUUUCACAGAGGCUAACGUAGGCUGUGCCUCUGUGCCUCCGCCCAGCUCACUGUCACUCCUGUUAUUAGUCUGCAGAGUCACAGGUUAUGGGCCGCGGACUCGGAUAUGCAACAGUGGUAGAAUUAUAAUAAUUAAUACGAAUAAUAAUUAGUAUAAUGUUUGGUAUCAAAAGGUACAUUAGAGGGACAAAACAAUCAACUGAUUAGAAUUUGAUGAUCGAAGGUCAAAGGUCACUGUGACCUUACAAAACACAUUUUUGGCCAUAACUCAAGAGCUCAUACGACAUUAUGACAAAGUUUCACACAAAUGUCUGACAGGAUAAAAUGAUGAAGAGAUGACAUUUAAUUAGGGCUGAAACGAUUCCUCGAGUAACUUGAA